rnacentral:rRNA from 1 species
AUUGAACGCUGGCGGCAGGCUUAACACAUGCAAGUCGAGCGGAGUGAUGGUGCUUGCACUAUCACUUAGCGGCGGACGGGUGAGUAAUGCUUAGGAAUCUGCCUAUUAGUGGGGGACAACAUCUCGAAAGGGAUGCUAAUACCGCAUACGUCCUACGGGAGAAAGCAGGGGAUCACUUGUGACCUUGCGCUAAUAGAUGAGCCUAAGUCGGAUUAGCUAGUUGGUGGGGUAAAGGCCUACCAAGGCGACGAUCUGUAGCGGGUCUGAGAGGAUGAUCCGCCACACUGGGACUGAGAAACGGCCCAGACUCCUACGGGAGGCAGCAGUGGGGAAUAUUGGACAAUGGGGGGAACCCUGAUCCAGCCAUACCGCGUGUGUGAAGAAGGCCUUAUGGUUGUAAAGCACUUUAAGCGAGGAGGAGGCUCUUUUGGUUAAUACCCAAGAUGAGUGGACGUUACUCGCAGAAUAAGCACCGGCUAACUCUGUGCCAGCCGCCGCGGUAA